AUGGACAUUUCACUCCAGUUUGUGCUAUUUUUUAAACUCUUAACUGACAUGUUGAUAUGUCAUUCUAGAAUUUUGUUGUUUCUGUUGGAACCUAUAUUAUCAAUUUUACACCUUGCAGAAUUUAUGACUAACAGGUUACAUGCUGGUUUCCUACUGUUUAGGUUUCGACAAUGGACAUUUGAACAAAAUCAUAUACUAGAGACUGCUUGUAUUAUAAUAGAAGGUAAACUUACCAAUCGAACAGAGUGA
rnacentral:rRNA from 1 species